rnacentral:rRNA from 1 species
UACGAAGGGGGCUAGCGUUGCUCGGAAUUACUGGGCGUAAAGGGAGCGUAGGCGGACAUUUAAGUCAGGGGUGAAAUCCCAGAGCUCAACUCUGGAACUGCCUUUGAUACUGGGUGUCUUGAGUGUGAUAGAGGUAAGUGGAACUCCGAGUGUAGAGGUGAAAUUCGUAGAUAUUCGGAAGAACACCAGUGGCGAAGGCGACUUACUGGAUCAUUACUGA